GAUGAACGCUGGCGGCGUGCCUAAUACAUGCAAGUCGAGCGAAUGGAUUAAGAGCUUGCUCUUAUGAAGUUAGCGGCGGACGGGUGAGUAACACGUGGGUAACCUGCCCAUAAGACUGGGAUAACUCCGGGAAACCGGGGCUAAUACCGGAUAACAUUUUGAACCGCAUGGUUCGAAAUUGAAAGGCGGCUUCGGCUGUCACUUAUGGAUGGACCCGCGUCGCAAUAGCUAGUUGGUGAGGUAACGGCUCACCAAGGCAACGAUGCGUAGCCGACCGGAGAGGGUGAUCUGCAUCACUGGGACUGAGACACGGCCCAGACUACUACGGGAGGCAGCAGUAGGGAAUCCGCCGCAAUGGACGAAAGUCGGACGGAGCAACGCCGCGUGAGUGAUGAAGGCUUUCGGGUCGUAAAACUCUGUUGUUAGGGAAGAACAAGUGCUAGUUGAAUAAGCUGGCACCUUGACGGUACCUAACCAGAAAGCCACGGCUAACUACGUGCCAGCCGCCGCCGUAA
rnacentral:rRNA from 1 species